rnacentral:rRNA from 1 species
UACGGGGGGGGGAAGCGUUGUUCGGAAUUACUGGGCGUAAAGGGCUCGUAGGCGGCCAACUAAGUCAGACGUGAAAUCCCUCAGCUUAACUGGGGAACUGCGUCUGAUACUGGAUGGCUUGGAUUCGGGAGAGGAAUGCGGAAUUCCAGGUGUAGCGGUGAAAUGCGUAGAUAUCUGGAGGAACACCGGUGGCGAAGGCGGCAUUCUGGACCGAUAUUGACGCUGAGGCGCGAAAGCCAGGGGAGCAAACGGG